CGGCGAGUGAAGCGGCAACAGCUCAAAUUUGAAAUCUGGCUCUUUCAGGGUCCGAGUUGUAAUUUGCAGAGGGCGCUUUGGCGUUGGCAGCGGUCCAAGUUCUUUGGAACAGGACGUCACAGAGGGUGAGAAUCCCGUACGUGGUCGCUAGCCUUCGCCGUGUAAAGCCCCUUCGACGAGUCGAGUUGUUUGGGAAUGCAGCUCUAAAUGGGAGGUAAAUUUCUUCUAAAGCUAAAUACUGGCCAGAGACCGAUAGCGCACAAGUAGAGUGAUCGAAAGAUGAAAAGCACUUUGGAAAGAGAGUCAAAUAGCACGUGAAAUUGUUGAAAGGGAAGCGCUUGCAGCCAGACUUGCCUGUAGUUGCUUAUCUGGACUUUUGUCCGGUGCACUCUUCUGCGGGCAGGCCAGCAUCAGUUUGGGCGGUUGGAUAAAGGUCUCUGUCAUGUACCUCCUUUCGGGGAGGCCUUAUAGGGGAGACGACAUGCAACCAGCCUGGACUGAGGUCCGCGCAUCUGCUAGGAUGCUGGCGUAAUGGCUGUAAGCGGCCCGUCUUGAAACACGGACCAAGGAGUCUAACAUCUAUGCGAGUGUUUGGGUGUCAAGCCCAGACGCGUAAUGAAAGUGAACGGAGGUGGGAACCCUUUGGGUGCACCAUCGACCGAUCCUGAUGUCUUCGGAUGGAUUUGAGUAAGAGCAUGGCUGUUGGGACCCGAAAGAUGGUGAACUAUGCUUGAAUAGGGUGAAGCCAGAGGAAACUCUGGUGGAGGCUCGCAGCGGUUCUGACGUGCAAAUCGAUCGUCAAAUUUGG
rnacentral:rRNA from 1 species